UCCGGAAUUAUUGGGCGUAAAGAGCUUGUAGGCGGUUGGUCGCNUCUGCUGUGAAAGGCUGGGGCUUAACCCUGGUUUUGCAGUGGGUACGGGCUAACUAGAGUGCAGUAGGGGAGACUGGAAUUCCUGGUGUAGCGGUGGAAUGCGCAGAUAUCAGGAGGAACACCGAUGGCGAAGGCAGGUCUCUGGGCUGUAACUGACGCUGAGAAGCGAAAGCAUGGGGAGCGAACAGGGUUAGAUACCCUGGUAGUCCAUGCCGUAAACGUUGGGCACUAGGUGUGGGGGACAUUCCACGUUUUCCGCGCCGUAGCUAACGCAUUAAGUGCCCCGCCUGGGGAGUACGGCCGCAAGGCUAAAACUCAAAGGAAUUGACGGGGGCCCGCACAAGCGGCGGAGCAUGCGGAUUAAUUCGAUGCAACGCGAAGAACCUUACCAAGGCUUGACAUAUACUGGACUGCGUCAGAGAUGGCGUUUCCCUUCGGGGCUGAUAUACAGGUGGUGCAUGGUUGUCGUCAGCUCGUGUCGUGAGAUGUUGGGUUAAGUCCCGCAACGAGCGCAACCCUCGUUCUAUGUUGCCAGCACGUGAUGGUGGGGACUCAUAGGAGACUGCCGGGGUCAACUCAGAGGAAGGUGGGGAUGACGUCAAAUCAUCAUGCCCCUUAUGUCUUGGGCUUCACGCAUGCUACAAUGGCCGGUACAGAGGGUUGCGAUACUGUGAGGUGGAGCUAAUCCCUAAAAGCCGGUCUCAGUUCGGAUUGGGGUCUGCAACUCGACCCCAUGAAGUCGGAGUCGCUAGUAAUCGCAGAUCAGCAACGCUGCGGUGAAUACGUUCCCGGGCCUUGUACACACCGCCCGUCAAGUCACGAAAGUUGGUAACACCCGAAGCC
rnacentral:rRNA from 1 species